UACGAAGGGGGCUAGCGUUGCUCGGAAUCACUGGGCGUAAAGCGCACGUAGGCGGAUCGUUAAGUCGGAGGUGAAAUCCUGGAGCUCAACUCCAGAACUGCCUUCGAUACUGGCGAUCUUGGAGUCCGGGAGAGGUGAGUGGAACUCCGAGUGUAGAGGUGAAAUUCGAUAGAUAUUCGGAAGAACACCAGUGGCGAAGGCGGCUCACUGGCCCGGUACUGGACGCUGAGGUGGCGAAAGCGUGGG
rnacentral:rRNA from 1 species